UACGGAGGGAGCUAGCGUUGUUCGGAAUUACUGGGCGUAAAGAGCUCGUAGGCGGUUUGUCGCGUCUGCUGUGAAAUCCCGAGGCUCAACCUCGGGUCUGCAGUGGGUACGGGCAGACUGGAGUGCGGUAGGGGAGAAUGGAAUUCCUGGUGUAGCGGUGGAAUGCGCAGAUAUCAGGAGGAACACCGAUGGCGAAGGCAGUUCUCUGGGCCGUAACUGACGCUGAGGAGCGAAAGCGUGGGGAGCGAACAGG
rnacentral:rRNA from 1 species